GAGAGAAGAAUGGCCUCCCAUCUUCUCAAAAAAUUCUCCAUCUCAAACGUCAUUUUCUCCUGAUGGAGAAGCUGAAAAUUUCACCAUCUAAAAAGCUAGAAGUGCUUUUGGCUGAUAAAUGACCAAAAUAACCUGUCUUCUCCCCCUUGGAAAAACGUUCUUUCCUCUGCUGUGAAAGUUUUAUACCCAUUUUUUUCACAUUUUCACUGUGAAAGCUCCUUCCUGUUCUUUGUUCCUCUUCCGUAGAGAUGCUCUUGAUGCUUUGGGAUUGGUUCGGUAGUGGUGUAGGAGAAUGCUUAUGACUCAUGUUGACCUCAUUGAGAAGCUUCUGAACUACAACACAUUGGAGAAGUCGGAGACCAGUUGAGGAAACAUGUAGAAUCUAAGGGUUUGUUGCAGUUUGUGUGAGUGCCUGUCAAUGAUUCUCAGUUUUGUUUAAGUGGGGCCGUGUUUGAAUCCAGAAAAAGGGAAGGAAAGGACUUAAAUAGUACUAGUCUAGUUUGUUUUCUUCAGCUCUAUGAUGGAUCGUUGUAUGUACGAAAUUAGUGGGAUUUGAAAUGCUGAAAGUGAUUGGAAUGCUUUGCUGUUUGCUGGGAUAAUUGUAGGAUCAAAGACUAACUUUUGUUAGUUGCAUUGCUACAGAUGUGUUAGUAAGUGUAGGAUGAAUGGGAACCUUAACCGAGCAUUUUAAAAUCAAUAAUGACAUGACCUUCUGGUAGCUUACAAGCUAAGUGAGGGAAGUGGGAAUGAAGCAAAAGACACCAUUUAAUUA